GGCUGCGGGAGGUGCGUAUAAGGCACUGGCUUGCGGAGCCAGGUAUCCCAGGUUCGAAUCCUGGCGCGCCCGCCA
rnacentral:tRNA from 1 species